GCUCCAAGCUUGCAUUUGUUGACAAUGAGUUCAAGGCCGUGUGGAUUGCCGAUACCAAUGGGCUGCGUAUUGUUUAUGAUACGAAAGGCCCCGACAACAUCUUCUCGCCGGUUUGGAACCAAAAUAAGGAAAAGGAUAUUCUCUAUGUAUGCACCGGACCUUCUUUCAACUCCGCCCAAAGUCUGGACAUCUGCGCCAUCCCCGAAGUGUCCCGUGGCGCAAAACAUCGUAUACAGCUAACAAGAGUUUCCAACAACGCCUUCCCAUCCACCAAUCCAGCUGGGACGAAAUUAGUAUUUCGAUCUAC